GACGAACGCUGGCGGCGUGCCUAAUACAUGCAAGUAGAACGCUGAAGGGGGAGCUUGCUUCUCCGGAUGAGUUGCGAAUGGGUGAGUAACGCGUAGGUAACCUGCCUGGUAGCGGGGGAUAACUAUUGGAAACGAUAGCUAAUACCGCAUAAUAGUAGAUGUUGCAUGACAUUUGCUUAAAAGGUGCAAUUGCACCACUACCAGAUGGACCUGCGUUGUAUUAGCUAGUUGGUGGGGUAACGGCUCACCAAGGCGACGAUACAUAGCCGACCUGAGAGGGUGAUCGGCCACACUGGGACUGAGACACGGCCCAGACUCCUACGGGAGGCAGCAGUAGGGAAUCUUCGGCAAUGGACGGAAGUCUGACCGAGCAACGCCGCGUGAGUGAAGAAGGUUUUCGGAUCGUAAAGCUCUGUUGUAAGAGAAGAACGAGUGUGAGAGUGGAAAGUUCACACUGUGACGGUAUCUUACCAGAAAGGGACGGCUAACUACGUG
rnacentral:rRNA from 1 species